AUCUGCCCAGAGCUCCUAAAGCAGCUCAUUUUUGGGAGCAUGUGCCCAGUUCUGGAGUGACCUCACUGCAGAUGUGAAAUCCACAGGGAUGGGCUGGAUCUGCCCAGAGCUCCUAAAGCAGCUCAGUUUUGGGAGCCCAGCUCUGGAAUGACCUCACUGCAGAGCUCCCCUGGAGGUUGGAAAUCCACAGGGAAUGGGCUGGAUCUCCUCAGAGCUCGUAAAGCAGCUCAGUUUUGGGAGCAUGUGCCCAGCCCUGGCUCUGCCCACGCCACUGCUGGCACCUCCCGCCCUCAGAGCCAACCAAACAUCCCACCAGGCUUGGGAAAGGAGCGACACAGAGAGGGGAGGACGGACGGGCGGACAGACAGACUCCCCCCCCCCCCCCCCCCCCCCCCCCCCCCCCCCCCCCCCCCCCCCCCCCCCCCCCCCCCCCCCCCCCCCCCCCCCCC
rnacentral:lncRNA from 1 species